AUGCUUCGCCGUCUUCAUCAUGCUCCACCUUCAUCUUCCGUAAUCCUCUGUCGUUUAGCAUCUCCACCCUUAAAACAUUAUGUUGUAACUUCGGUUAGCAUCUUCAUCAAUCUCUACAAGCUGCUUCGAUCUUCAAUCCGCAUCAAGCGGAAACUUCACACCCUUUUAUCAUCAUCACCAUUGUAUCAUCAUCAAUACAUGGAAUCCACAACAAUGCAUCAUAACGCCAAAUUAAAAAUGGUGAGAACAAAGUAG